rnacentral:misc_RNA from 1 species
AACGCACAUUGCGCCCCUUGGUAUUCCGAGGGGCAUGCCUGUUCGAGCGUCAUUUCAAACCUCAAGCUCACGCUUGGUGUUGGGCGUCGUCCGCUAGGACGUGCCCGAAACCCGUAGGCAGUGGUGCCCGCCUCCCAGCGUAGUCAAGUUACCCGCUUCGGAGCGCGCGGUGCCGCCCGCCAGACGAACAACCAACUAUUUUUCUAUGGUUUGACCUCGGAUCAGGUAGGGAUACCCGCUGAACUUAA